CGAACGAUGAACCGGUUUCGGCCGGGGAUUAGUGGCGAACGGGUGAGUAACACGUGGGCAAUCUGCCCUGCACUCUGGGACAAGCCCUGGAAACGGGGUCUAAUACCGGAUACGACCUUCGAGCGCAUGCUUGAGGGUGGAAAGCUCCGGCGGUGCAGGAUGAGCCCGCGGCCUAUCAGCUUGUUGGUGGGGUGAUGGCCUACCAAGGCGACGACGGGUAGCCGGCCUGAGAGGGCGACCGGCCACACUGGGACUGAGACACGGCCCAGACUCCUACGGGAGGCAGCAGUGGGGAAUAUUGCACAAUGGGCGAAAGCCUGAUGCAGCGACGCCGCGUGAGGGAUGACGGCCUUCGGGUUGUAAACCUCUUUCAGCAGGGAAGAAGCGAAAGUGACGGUACCUGCAGAAGAAGCGCCGGCUAACUACGUGCCAGCAGCCGCGGUAAUACGUAGGGCGCAAGCGUUGUCCGGAAUUAUUGGGCGUAAAGAGCUCGUAGGCGGCUUGUCGCGUCGGAUGUGAAAGCCCGGGGCUUAACCCCGGGUCUGCAUUCGAUACGGGCAGGCUAGAGUUCGGUAGGGGAGAU
rnacentral:rRNA from 1 species